rnacentral:lncRNA from 1 species
CUGGGAAGUGUUUAGGUCAUGAGAGUGGAGCCCUCAUCAAUGGAUUAGUGUCCAUUAUGGAAGAGCUUGAGGCCGUGAGUUUGAGCUCUUGCUCUCUCUCACCAUCUCUUUUUACCCUUCCAUCAGGGAACGACACAGCAAGAAGGCCCAUACCAGGUGCCAACCUCUUAAUCUUGGACUUUCCAGCCUCCAGAACUACAAGAAGUACUGCUUUAAUAAACGUGAACCGAUGUGCACUCCUGUAUGUUUGAAACUAAGAAGCCUAAGGUGAAUUAAAGAAUCUGUGGUUCUUGUGGGUCCUGCAGGUUACAAACUUGUGAAAAAUCUUUGACUUUAUACAUCCCACUGCCCUACCCUGUUGGAAAAGACCAAUCCUGGGUAAGUAGAACGUCCUCUUAGCAUAGUAGAAUAUGGGUCAAUUUAGUUAGCACUAAGGCCUUUACUCCCAGGGAUGGGAAUAUCCUGAUGUUAGGAAGUUCCAAAGAGUAAGAUCAAAGGUUCUUUGCUCUGGUUUGGUUUCCUCCUUCCCCUUGCUCUCUGUCUUAGCCUGUUUGAGCAGCUGUAGCAGAAUACCAUAGACUAGGUGGCAGGUAGACAACAGAAAUGCAUUGCUCACAGUUCUGGAGACUGGGGAAUGCAAGAUUGAGGUGCCAGCAGAUUUCAUGUCAGGUACUAGCCUUCUUGGUUCACAGAUGGCUGUCUUCUCUCUGUCUCCUCACAUGGUGGAAAUAAUGAGGGAGCUCUUUGUGGUCUAUUUAUUUAUUUUUUUCUAGACAAGGUCUUGCUCGGUCACCCAGGCUGGAGCACUAUGGUGUGAUCUCGGCUUAUCACAACCUCUGCCUCCUGGGUUCAAGCCAUCCUCCCACCUCAGCCACCUGAGUAGCUGGGACUACAGGCGCAUGCCACCAUGCCCAGCUAAUUUUUGUGUUUUCAGUAGAGAUGGGGUUUCACCGUGUUGCUCAGGCUGGUCUCAAAUUCCUGGCCUCAAGUGAUCUGCCAGCCUCAGCCUCCCAAAGUGCUGGCAUUAUAGGCAUGAGCCACCGAUGCCUGAUCGUGGUCUAUUUUAUAAGGGCACUAAUCCCUUUCACGAGGGCUCCACUCUCAUGAAUGACUUAAUCAUCUACUAAAGGCCUCACCUCCUAAUACAAUCAUAUUGGAGGUAAGGAUUUCCAUAUAUGAAUUUGGGGUGAACACAUUCAUUCUAUAGCACUCACCCACAUUUUAUCGAGGCACACUUCUUUUCCAUGGAUUUGUUUGGGGCUGGAAACAUAAAUCAGCAAAUACAUUUUCAGGAAGACUAUCUCAAGUACUGCUGGAGUAAUAACUGCAGAAAGUGUUAGAAAUAUCAUAGAAAAGUGAAUUCUCAGCAUUGCUCAAGAAUUUUUUUUCUUUUUUUGAGAUGGAGUCUCAUUCUGUUGCCCAGGCUGGGGUGCAGUGGCAUGAUCUCUGCUCACUGAAACCUCUGCCUCCCUGAUUCAAGCGAUUCUACCGCCUCAGCCUCACGAAUAGCUGGGAUUACAGGUGUGCACCACCGUGCCUGGCUAAUUUUGGGAGAUGUUAGCUGAAUUCUACACUGGCUGAUAAAAGCAUACCACCGGAAUGCUGAAGCCCUGAUGGAAGAUGAAUAGAAACCGGACACUCCCACAGAGGGCUGGUUAGCUGGUGCACCAUCCCAUUUGCUCUUGGACUCUGCUCACUUCACCUCUCGGUGUGACUUUGCGAUGGCUGGAGCUGUGCCAGGCCUGCUACCCCUGGACACCUGAUGAUAUCAAGAGGACUAAGGGCCCCUGAAAUUUCAGAAAUGCUGAAUCCGUGGCAAAAGAGAUGUUAUUGGUGCCCUGAGUUCUUGUAAUCUCCAAGGAGAGAAAUCAAGAGGGAUCACCAGACAUAGCAGCCAAAAAGAAAGAGAAAAAUUUAUUUUAGCUUGUGUGCAAGGAAGUCAGCACUGCAAAAGGAAAAGCAACAAGGAACUCUCUAAUUCCUAUCUGACAGUUCACAGAGAUGUGGUGAGUAAGUACAAGUAGGUCUUCGACAAAAUUUCUUGCAAAUACUCUAUUGGUCAAGUCCUUGUAGAAUCAACUAGGAAAGUACAGUGCCUAUGUUAGGUUUUUAAUCUGUCAACAUGCUAUAGCUUUAUUUGAUGAAAGACUGCUCCAUGCUGUGUAACCAGUAAAAUAUGAAUUAUAGGUAAUCAUCUCAUCAGAGUUGAAUUCUUUACAUUUAAAAAAUAUGAAUCCUACCUUAAGGAAAGCUUCUAUUUUCAAAGUGGAAUCUUUCUAAAUACUCUUGGAACUGGAGUUAUUUUCAAGUGCCCUAGAGAAAGCAAACAGCUGUUGAAUCCUACACAGAACUAAGAGUUCAAAAAUCAGUGCUUAGACUUUCCAUUUCAGCCCAGCAGGGUCACCCAAGUGACAUUUCUGGGGAACAGAAUCAACUUCCAGUAAAUUAGCAAACAUACACCACAAAUGGAAAUAUUCAAUUGAAUAUUUAUAAGAAAUAAAAAAUUGAAGGUGUAUGGAAAAGAGAAUCACUUUUUAUUAUUGAAAUGUCUAAUGCUUCAAGCUAAUAGUUUAAACUGAAAAUCAGGAUGUUAUUGGGAAAGGAAUGCAAUUAACAUUUUAUGAGUAACUGUGUGGUGGUGUUUGUUAUUGUUAAAGGAAAAAAAAAGCAAAUACUUCCCAAGUACACUUUGUUUAUUUCAAUUCCUAGCGGCAGAGAUUUUAAGGGUGUUUACUGGUGUAAUGGGAAGAGCACUGGACUAGGAGCCAGGAAACCUGAGUUUGGCCAGUGAUCUUUUGGCCUUGAUUUUCUUUUCUGUAAAAUGAGAAAGAGGGCUAGGCUAGUCGUUUCUGGCACAUGUCUGGCCACAUGACAAACCUCUUCCUCAAAGAUUAUGACUCAGUAGGUCUGGGAGACCCGCUUCUGGCAUACUGAGAUUAGAUCCCACAAGCACAUCAUUUAGCUUAUGUGGAACUAAUGGAUGGAUCAAAACAUUGAAAGAUAAGCAGUGUUUAUUCUAAGGGAGAAAGGGAAGGAGACUUGCCGGAAAUCAUGGAAGCUGAGAUGUCAUAUUAAAAGAAGCAAUAGAAAGAAUCUUUGAGCCAAAGUUAUCAAAAAUACAGGCAUUUCCAUUGUGCAUUUGUGGAAGAAAGACACACCAUGAUUUGAAAGUUUCUGAUGUGAUUCAAGGAUGCCUAUGAGGAGGCAAGUAAGCGGCACCACUGUUUGCACUCUGACUCCCUUUUUACCCAGUGCAUCUCUGCUUAGUCUGUUUUAAAUGCCACAGUUCAGUGGCUGAAACAUGAUUGAGCUGUAUAUUCUAACACUAUGUCCUGGAAACUGGUGAAUCUGUAUUUGUUCCCAAUUUCUGUAUCUGUUAAUGCCACCAUCUUUCUCCUUAUACACACUUUUAUUAGGUUGGUGCAAAAGCAAUUGUGGUUUUUGCCAUUAAUAAAAGCCCAUGUCCA